GACGAACGCUGGCGGCGUGCCUAACACAUGCAAGUCGAGCGAAUGAAGUUCCUUCGGGAAUGGAUUUAGCGGCGGACGGGUGAGUAACACGUGGGCAACCUGCCUCAUAGAGGGGAAUAGCCUUCCGAAAGGGAGAUUAAUACCGCAUAAGAUUGUAGUAUCGCAUGAUACAGCAAUUAAAGGAGCAAUCCGCUAUGAGAUGGGCCCGCGGCGCAUUAGCUAGUUGGUGAGGUAACGGCUCACCAAGGCGACGAUGCGUAGCCGACCUGAGAGGGUGAUCGGCCACAUUGGGACUGAGACACGGCCCAGACUCCUACGGGAGGCAGCAGUGGGGAAUAUUGCACAAUGGGGGAAACCCUGAUGCAGCAACGCCGCGUGAGUGAUGACGGCCUUCGGGUUGUAAAGCUCUGUCUUCAGGGACGAUAAUGACGGUACCUGAGGAGGAAGCCGCGGCUAACUACGUG
rnacentral:rRNA from 1 species